rnacentral:ncRNA from 1 species
CUAUUUUUUAGCCACCAGAUAUUUUAGAGGAGGACGUUAUGCUUUUAUCUGUAGAGAACAACUUAAUCUGAUUCAGCAUACGUCAGCUCACGGACAUAUGUUGUAUCUACCAUAUGUCCGAAUGCCAAGAUUCAAGCCUAGCAUUCGCUAGGUUUUUUUUAUGUCUAUUUGAUCCGA